rnacentral:tRNA from 1 species
GGGUCCUUAGCUCAGCUGGUAGAGCACCGCACUUUUAAUGCGAUUGUCGCGAGUUCGAAUCUCGCAGGACCCACCA